CGCGGGAUUGGCGGGGGCACGGGGGGACGGGGCGCAGCAGGCGCGAAAACUUUACAAUGCGGGAAACCGUGAUAAGGGGAUCUCGAGUGCCAGCAUAUAAUGUUGGCUGUCCAGAUGCCUAAAAAGCAUCUGUUAGCAAGGGCCGGGCAAGACCGGUGCCAGCCGCCGCGGUAACACCGGCGGCCCGAGUGGUAACCGCUAUUAUUGGGUCUAAAGGGUCUGUAGCCGGCCAGGUAAGUCCCUUGGGAAAUCUGGCAGCUCAACUGUCAGGCUGCUAGGGGAUACUGUUUGGCUUGGGACCGGGAGAGGUGAGAGGUACCUUGGGGGUAGGGGUGAAAUCUUGUGAUCCCCGGGGGACCACCAGUGGCGAAGGCGUCUCACCAGAACGGGUCCGACGGUAAGGGACGAAAGCUAGGGGCACGAACCGGAUUAGAUACCCGGGUAGUCCUAGCCGUAAACGAUGCUCGCUAGGUGUCAGUCACGGUGCGACCGUGAUUGGUGCCGUAGGGAAGCCGUGAAGCGAGCCACCUGGGAAGUAUGGCCGCAAGGCUGAAACUUAAAGGAAUUGGCGGGGGAGCACUACAACGGGUGGAGCCUGCGGUUUAAUUGGAUUCAACGCCGGAAAUCUCACCGGGGGCGACAGCGAUAUGAAGGUCAGGCUGAAGACCUUACCGGAUUAGCUGAGAGGUGGUGCAUGGCCGUCGUCAGUUCGUACUGUGAAGCAUCCUGUUAAGUCAGGCAACGAGCGAGACCCACGUCCACAGUUGCCAGCAUACCCUCUGGGGUGAUGGGUACACUGUGGAGACCGCCGCUGCUAAAGCGGAGGAAGGAGUGGGCAACGGUAGGUCAGUAUGCCCCGAAUCUCCCGGGCUACACGCGGGCUACAAUGGUUGGUACAAUGGGCAUCUACCCCGAAAGGGGAAGGUAAUCUCUUAAAGCCAAUCGUAGUUCGGAUUGAGGGCUGCAACUCGCCCUCAUGAAGCUGGAAUCCGUAGUAAUCGCGUUUCAACAGAACGCGGUGAAUACGUCCCUGCUCCUUGCACGGAUUCGCCGAAUCACUAGU
rnacentral:rRNA from 1 species